UACGUAGGGUGCAAGCGUUGUCCGGAAUUAUUGGGCGUAAAGAGCUCGUAGGCGGUUCGUCGCGUCGGCUGUGAAAACCUGAGGCUCAACCUCAGGCCUGCAGUCGAUACGGGCGGACUUGAGUACUGCAGGGGAGACUGGAAUUCCUGGUGUAGCGGUGGAAUGCGCAGAUAUCAGGAGGAACACCGGUGGCGAAGGCGGGUCUCUGGGCCGUUACUGACGCUGAGGAGCGAAAGCGUGGGGAGCGAACAGG
rnacentral:rRNA from 1 species